AGAGUUUGAUCCUGGCUCAGAAUCAACGCUGGCGGCAUGCCUAACACAUGCAAGUCGAACGCGAAAGUGGCUUCGGCCGCGAGUAGAGUGGCAAACGGGUGAGUAACGCGUGGGUGACCUGCCUUCGAGUGGGGGAUAACGUUUCGAAAGGAACGCUAAUACCGCAUAACAUCCUGUUCUUGAACGGAUGGAGAUCAAAGCCGGGGAUCGCAAGACCUGGCGCUUGAAGAGGGGCCCGCGUCCGAUUAGCUAGUUGGUGAGGUAAUGGCCCACCAAGGCGACGAUCCGUAGCUGGUCUGAGAGGAUGAUCAGCCACACUGGGACUGAGACACGGCCCAGACUCCUACGGGAGGCAGCAGUGGGGAAUAUUGGACAAUGGGCGAAAGCCUGAUCCAGCCAUGCCGCGUGAGUGAAGAAGGCCUUAGGGUUGUAAAGCUCUUUCAGCGGGGAAGAUAAUGACGGUACCCGCAGAAGAAGCCCCGGCUAACUUCGUGCCAGCAGCCGCGGUAAUACGAAGGGGGCUAGCGUUGUUCGGAAUUACUGGGCGUAAAGCGCGCGUAGGCGGAUCGCUAAGUCAGGGGUGAAAUCCCAGGGCUCAACCCUGGAACUGCCUUUGAUACUGGCGAUCUGGAGAUCGGGAGAGGUUGGUGGAAUUCCGAGUGUAGAGGUGAAAUUCGUAGAUAUUCGGAGGAACACCAGAAGCGAAAGCGGCCAACUGGCCCGAUACUGACGCUGAGGCGCG
rnacentral:rRNA from 1 species